GGUAUUAACACAGCGGUUAGUGUAGCGGCCUUGUAAGCCGAAGAAGUGGGUUCGAUUCCUACUGGGAGCACCA
rnacentral:tRNA from 1 species